AAAUUAGUACUAGGUGAUUUUGAACUUAGGUUAUGAUAAAAGCCCUGCUGGAACGAUAAAUGGGUCUGCUCGUCGAAUAUUCUUCAAGGCUGGUGUGGAGAAUAUCUACCUUCUAGAAGCCACUGAUAAAUUCAUCCAGCGCUAACCAAAGGUGAUGUGGUUAUUGGUGAGUCAGCUGGGUCAAUGUUAGAAUGGGAUUUAGAAUUUUUAAUGCAGAGAGCUAGGGACUACAAGAAAAAUCAUGGUGAUUCCUAUGUGUCUGUUGAACAUUUGGCUGCUUGGUUAUGUGAAAGAUAACCGAUUUGGGAAACAACUGUUAAAGGAAUUCAAAAUUUUACUGAAAACCUUAAAGAAUGCAAUAGAUUCUAUCAGAAGAAAGCAAAGAAUAAUAGAUCAGCGUAAAUACAUUUUAUUCAUGUUACAAUAUGUAUUCUUUUUGUUAGUAGGAUGUGAUGAAGUAAACCAUGU
rnacentral:lncRNA from 1 species